rnacentral:lncRNA from 1 species
CAGACUUUAUAAGGGUUUCUUAUAAAAGGACAAGUUCAGCCCCCUUCUCUUUCUCUCUGUCUCUUUUUCUUUCCCUCUCAGUCCUUCUGCCAUGGAAUGACACAGCAAGAAAGCCUCACAAGAUGCUGGCCCCUCAAUUUUAGACUAUCCAGCCUCCAGAACUUGUUUUGUGGAAGGCAGAACUUGGGAGUGAAAGUGUUGAAGGAGUGGCUUGGUUUCUCCUGACUGCUUCUAGCAAAACUCAAGAAGAGAGAAAUGAAUUGAAGAAGAAAUUGUUAAGCAAAAAGGAACCAGAACUUAAACAUUUGGAGAAUUCUCGGCCUAUCUGUAUUGCAAAAAAUGAGAAAGCAUGUUCAGAAAAGAACAGUAAGGUUGUGACUGACUGACCGUUGGAUACAAAGAUUAGUAGAGUUGUGAACUAUGGACCGAAUCACCCACCCCAGUCGAAACAUUGCCAGCUAGAACUGAAGGGGAUGGAGGGAGAUGGAAUGGAAGGAUGGCUGUCAGACUUCUUUGACUGUACAGGACAUGGCAAUAAAAAUAUUCAGCUACAAAUUUGUACUAUUUUUCAAGAAAAGGAAAGAAUGGCCCCAAAGGCAAUUCAGAGAUCAUCAGGGCCACUACCUCAGUUUCAACAGACCCAACAGUCUCUGGUCAAAGCCAUGGGGCAGGGCUGCCUGGAGCCAUGAG